rnacentral:rRNA from 1 species
CGGAAACGGACGCUAAUACCGCAUACGUCCUACGGGAGAAAGCAGGGGACCUUCGGGCCUUGCGCUAUCAGAUGAGCCUAGGUCGGAUUAGCUAGUUGGUGAGGUAAUGGCUCACCAAGGCGACGAUCCGUAACUGGUCUGAGAGGAUGAUCAGUCACACUGGAACUGAGACACGGUCCAGACUCCUACGGGAGGCAGCAGUGGGGAAUAUUGGACAAUGGGCGAAAGCCUGAUCCAGCCAUGCCGCGUGUGUGAAGAAGGUCUUCGGAUUGUAAAGCACUUUAAGUUGGGAGGAAGGGCAGUUGCCUAAUACGUAACUGUUUUGACGUUACCGACAGAAUAAGCACCGGCUAACUCUGUGCCAGCAGCCGCGGUAAUACAGAGGGUGCAAGCGUUAAUCGGAAUUACUGGGCGUAAAGCGCGCGUAGGUGGUUUGUUAAGUUGGAUGUGAAAUCCCCGGGCUCAACCUGGGAACUGCAUUCAAACUGACUGACUAGAGUAUGGUAGAGGGUGGUGGAAUUUCCUGUGUAGCGGUGAAAUGCGUAGAUAUA